AUAUAUAUACACAUGUGUGUAUAUAUAUAUAUAUAUAUGUAUGUAUAUGUAUGUUUUUUUGCUUUUUUUUCUGAGAAUAGCCUAAAGUGAAGAAACAUUGUUAAACAAGAUGUUAAACUUUGUAGUUUUAAGGUGCUCCUAAACAAGUAAGCCUUAGGUUGUAUUAAUAGGAUUGCCACCAUUUCCUUAACAAUUUAUGGAAUAUAAUUGACACCAGUUUUUUUUUGACUGCAGUUUUAACUUAGCUAACCAGUUUCUUUUGAUAUUGUUCAGUGUCAAAUGAUAGAAAAUGAUAAGGCUUCCAAUUUCACUUCCAGUUGAGGAUUUUCGAUUCUGUAAGUGUUUUCUGUCCUCUCGUAGUUAAGUAAUCUUAAAAGGAACAUUUUGGAGUUCAACUUCUGACUUUCAUAGGAACCUUUGCAUGCUGUUUAUCAUUUUAAUGUUGAUGAAUAUCGAGAGGUCUGUGCAGCCAUCUUUUGGCAGAGAGUUUGGGAAGCACGACUGUAGGGAUUCUGUAAUUCACGAAUCUGGGACCAAGUCUGCGCUCACUUUGUGAACAUGCAGGUCGAAGUGGUAGUGAGGUUUAUGGUUCAUACCAAGUGGAAACUGGGCUGGGUGGGGGUGGGGGGUGGGGAGUGGGAUAGCUUAAAGAAAGCCUGUACCUAUAGGCAUUUUUAAAGACAUUCAAAUCGAAUGCUUAGUGCCUUUGUCUAGGUAUUUUAUAAAGGGACAAUGUUUUUGAAGCUGUUAGGAACUGCUUGAUUAUAAGCCUCUUUCCUCGUGCCUUUUAGUUGUGAAGGCCGUUUGUGACCCCCCUUCUGAUGAUAGAAGGGUGAUUAAGUGUAGGCCAGACAUCUAACAUCAGGACAGAGAUCACCAGACAGGAAAUGAGAGUAGAGUUAACUGCAUUCCUGUAUUUGGAGACUGUCACAUCAAACAAUUAUUAUUUCAAAUCAUAACAGAUAGAAGACAUGGUCACCUGUGGGCACAUUUACUUUUAAUAAUUCUCUAGGUGAUCUCCAAAGUACCUUUAUGUCAUUCUCCUAAAGUAUUUUUGUGUGUGUUUUCAUGUGGGUUUGCACAAGCACAUGGUACAUUUUGUAAACAAAUAUAUGGGGCAUGUACUAAAAAUUCCAUUGAUAGGGGUGCCUGAUCAAAAAUACUUUCUCUAGAUCACUAAGGUAGAUGAGGGUUUGCUCUCUUAAUAACUUGUGAUUAUUAUGUUAAGUGAUACGUCUUCAAAUGAGAAACUGGUAGCAUUUCAAAGAAGGUUAUCUUGUCUAAUUUUAGCUUCUUAAGUCCGUAUUUAUAAAAUUAAGACAUUUUUUACAGCCAACAGAAACCCCAAAUUAAGUGUUCUACCAAUUCAAAGUCUAUGUGCUCCUAUAUAUUAAACUAUGUAUUGCUAUGUGCUGAGAUCCACAUUUUAUGUUUUUAGAAAUUUUCUUUUUAAAUGUUAGGGCUCUUGUAACAUUUCCUUUAUUUGCAUGCAUGGUUGUAAAAGAACUGAGUUCAUGUAGUUGCACACCAGUGAUUACAUUAGCCUUAGCAUUUAUGGGUUAGCCAGAAGUCUCCUGUAUCUUUUCUCUCUGGUUCUGAGCAAUCUGUAAAUUUGUAGGAAGGAAAGGUGACUGCAAAUUGGACUUUAUUUGAUAAGAUUCUAUAAAUGGGCAUAAACCUAAAAUGGUAAGAUUUGACAAUGGCACUGUAAACAGGACAGAUGUAUCUUCCAGUCCUGAUUUAUAACAGUUUUGUCCCCUCGAGUCCCUAGACUGAAUGGAAUUGUAUUUCCUAUAAAUUACACUCGUGAGCCUUCAAGUUACUGAUGUACGUUCUUCGUUGACCUCUCAACAACUGGGUGAGGUUGACAGGUAGAUAGGUCAGUAUUUUUUAAUCUUCGUGUUCUGUGGUUAGAAAGCUGAGGCUUAGGGAGUUUAAGUAAUUUGCCCCAAAGUCAAAUGGCUAGUAAACAGCUCAUUCAUAAUUUGAACUCGGGCCUUUUUGACCCCAGAACCUGAACUUUCAACUAUUGGUAUAUUGAGGUGUAUGAUUUAUUUACCGUGUUUCACAUUGUUGCAACAUGCAGGUUUUCAUUUCUCAUUGCUGGUUAGCCAUCAUUUUCAGCCUUUGAAACCUCAUCACUUUCCAUGCUCAGAAGGCAAAAAAACUGUCUUAAAACCACGCUUCUUUCUUCAGGAGGCAUUUGGGACUUAUUAUAAAGAACACUAGUCAUGGACUCAGAAGAAUGGGUUGGAAUGCAGGCCUGUACCAGCUACUACUUUGUGACUUUGGGCAAUUUGAUUAGCCUCUCUGAGCCCAUCGCUCCGUAUGUAAAAUGGGAUAAAAAUAAGUCCGUUAUACAUGAAAACAUCCAGCAAAGAAUGGUUGGAUUUUUGGGAGUUGAAUACUUCAGUAUAGCAUGGAGGCAAAUUCAGCAGGUGGUUUUCUUGGUUUCGUGAAAAUUUGACGUCACUGUGAUCGGUGGGAGUUUCUUGAAAGUCCGCUUUGGCCAAUAGCUGUGAGAAAUGUACUUGUGAUUUUGAAAUGAUAGGGGAAGAAAAAGGAAGUCCUUUUUAAAAAUGGAAAUACAGAUAACCCAGGUGUUGAGCGUAUUUAUUUCACAGACUUUGCUGAGCUGGGUCCUUAACAUUGUGCUUUUCAGAGCUAUUUUCCCAGUAGAGGACAGAAAAGAAGGACUCCUUCGGAUCUUUUGUCUGUUGAACACCUUCAAGUGAGAGAUGCCGCCACACUACCAAAUGUAUAUAGCCAGGCAGCCCCGCGCAGUGCCUGCUUGAGGGCAUUAUCGUGUUUGAGUGUUGCACCUCCUCGCCGUAAGAAGUAAGUUGACUUUUCCCAGGGUUUGCCGCCCUUCGAGCCAUUUGUAUCUGGCCAUGCUUUUGUGGUUUUUUCCAAACAGAACUCGGUGGCUCUCAAUCCCUUCUUAACCUAGAGUGCUGUGAGUACUUCCUCUCUACUGCCAGGAAAAGCAGCCUUUUUGUAAGUUACCAGUUUGGGUUUGAGUUGCUUCUUGUGGUGUAACCGGAUGCAACGUUUGCUUGAAUCACUGAUAACGUCACCGGCUUGUUCUAGUCAGUCACGAGUGAACCAGGGACCAUGCGCUGUUUUUAGUUUAAACCCCGGUCCCUUUCUCUGGCGAAGAUAACCCUCAUUGAGGAGCUUGCUGCUGGGUUGUAUAGCAUGGCUGCGUGCCUCAAUGAAGUAGGUACUCAGCCAGCGGAGCGGCUUGCUGAUUUAUUUUGCAAUAGUAUAGGAAACAAAGGGCCCUAUUCUUAAAAGAACCUCAAGAGACUUCCAGGCAAAGUUCCUUUGGCCCCUUCAGAAGUCUUGCAUUUUACUGUCCCUGUGAGCUUCAGGCCUGCUUGGAGUUGUGGGUAGCCUUAAAAAUUAGUCCAGGUGUUCUUACAGUGUUUAAGAUGGUGAUGGAAGAACAAGAGUUUGGAAUUAAUUAAAACAGGGUUGGGGCGCCUGGUCAGAGUUGUUAGAACAGUUAUCCCCUGAGAGAGGGUAGUUCCGGUCAUAGGGUUAGAGGUGGGGCCUUAUGUAAUCGUGAAGCGUCACACACAGGCUCUCUUCUCCUAACUUUCAGCUUCUUGCAUUUCCCCCAUUCCCCUGUCCAAGGGAUCCCUCUUGGGAUCCUUCCUUUUUUUUUUUUUUUUUUUUUUUUUAAUGUUCAUUUAUUUUUGAGAGAGAUGGAGGGGAGGAGAGAGAGAGGGAGAGAGAGAAUCCCAAGCCAGCUCCACGUUGUCAGCACAGGGCCUGACCAGGGGGGAUUGAUCUUAACAGCCCUGAGAGCACGACCUGAGUUGAAACCAAGACUGGGACCCUCAAACAACUGAGCUACCCAGGCACGCCUUCUGGGUCCUUUCUGAUGGUCAGAAUAUGACCGUUUUGUCCCGUAUCUACCACAUUCAUUAAAUACUCAAUUGAGUCCCUCUGUGUGCCAUGUACUAUCCCAAGGACUCACAAAUAGUCAUCGUGUCUGCCUUCAAGGGGCUUCGAGCCUAGCAGCAGAGAGAAGUCCCCAAACAAAUAGAAACACUGGAAUCUACUAAGGGAAGGAAGAGGUGAAGUGGGGUGUCCCGACCACAAUGAUGGACACAACGCCUGCCUUCGUUCUUCCCAGAGGAAGACAUGAACUGAGCUGUGUCUGUACGAUUGGUUUUUUUAUCUUUUUCUCAGUUUCGUCUUUGUCCGUAAUUUUAUCUUCUUUUUCACUUAUUCUCCCCUCUGCCUCAUCAGUCCUCGCUGUCACCGCAUCUGGUUUACGUUGCACCUCAUCUACAGCGUUUCUUAAUUUGUCAUGGCUAUGUUUUAGUUCCUUCAUCUCCGCAGCAAUAGGUUCUCUGCUGUCUUCUAUGCCUUUCUCAAACCCAGCGAUUAAUCUUAUUGACUAUUAGUCUAAAUUCUUGUUCAGUUGUAUUGUUUGUGUCUGUCUUGAGCAAUUCUUUAGCUGUCAUUUCUUCCUGGAAUUUCUUUCGAGGAGAAGUCUUCCGUUUCGUCCUUUUGGCUGGUUUUCUGUCCCUUAUGUGUUUUAAAAGCUUGUUGCGUGCUCUGCACCUGUGAGCACUGCUAUGUUAUGCUCUGUCCAGGGCCUGGCCCUUCAGGAGGUGUUCUUUGGAGUGCGUUAUGUGCUCUCGGUUGUUGGGACUCUGGUUGCUUUAUCCCCCUGCUCCUAGCGAUGUUUUGGACCCUCCCACCAGGUGUGCUUUGAUUUGUUUGUUGAAGUAGCCCAAUGACCCACCAGGUUGUCCCCUUGGGCCCCUGGAGACAUCUCUGUCACUCUGCAGCCGGACUCUUGGAAUUCAAAGUCCUCUGUCCUCAAGACUGCUGUGUUUGAGGGAUGAGGGAACUUCAGGUCCCCCCACCAUGUUGGAUCUCUGCCUGAGCUGCGUCUGUAGGGUAUGUGGGGAUUUGCGUGAAGAAGGCAGGACAGGGGACAGCGCACAAAGUCUGGCUGGAGAGCGAACGGUGCUUGGGAGGGAUUGAGAGAGGCCAGGAUGAGUGGAGUGGAGGAGAAUUAAGGAAGGGAGGCCACAUCACGUGGGGCUUUGUAGGUAGAGAGCGACCAUGUAAUUUGAUCGAUAAGUUUAUCAGCUGAACUGUGGCCCUUGAGAGUAAAACAGAGUGCAGUUACUAAUUAAACCCAGACUGUAAGCAGCUGGAACAGUCUCCUCGCUUUUACAGGCCAUGUUAAAGUAUUAUCUCUUUGCAUAAAGGCCGGGCAACCAGCAACGUAUCUACUUUCUAGUAAACGGGUCAAGGAGUUAGAACACCUUUUGCAGUCCAAAAGGAACCCAAACCGAACUCAAGAGUGUUUUCUUCAGAAUAGCUAGAUUGCUAUGAUUUGUUUUGGUACAAACAAUAAUGACUUUCAUGUUCUAAAGGCUUAGCACGGAAAGUUGGUUUUUAGCGUAAGCUGCUAGAUUAGAGGCACUUUCAUGGUGUAUGAAAUAGAACAAUUGAAAUUCAAACAUAUCUUUGAUUAUUGUCCACGGUUUGUUGUUACUGUUGUUAUAGCACUUCCCGUUUUUGCAGUGUUCAUUAAAUAGAAUUAAAAAAAAAAAGUUUAAUUGUGAGUUUACAUUUCUAGUGGAAGUAACUCCUAGACGUAGCUUUCGAGGUGUGGGCCACCUAAAUCUUUUUUCUUUAAAUUGCUGUAAAAAUGUAAUACAACUAAAUGUAUAGAAUUCAGUGGAUUUUGCACACCUAUGAAAUCCACACCCCAAUCAAGAGAUAGAACAUUUUUACCACCCCAGAAAAUUCCCUUUGGGGACAGUUAAGAUUUGGUUAAGAAAUAUGUUUGGGGAGCCAGUCCUCAAAUUAGAAAUGAGUUGUUUUCCCUCUCCUCUUCUUACUACUUUAUUUUUGCUCCCUAAACUUGCGGUAAUGGUUACUUUAAACAUGAAGCAAAUUGUCACCAGAAGAAACCGUUGCCUUUCAACUAGUUAUGAUUUAGUGGUUACUAAUAUUGUACAUCCCUGCCUAAUUUGCUAUGGCUUUUAGUUUUUUAGAGUGAGUAGUAAAAUGUGAGUCAUAUCCCUAUCACUGACUCACAAGCUUACUAAGGAGUGCUUGGUGUUUGUUAUUAGGCCAGAACUCUAGAAUCGUGAUCAAUUGAAAAAGAUUGUGAUGAUGCAAAAUUUAUAUAAUGCUCCCCCUUGUUUCAUUUAGCCUGGUUAUGCCACUGUCAUAGGUCUUGUAGCUAAGAAGAGACAAGUGUUAAACCUGUAUAUAUAGCUGAGUUCUAGCUAGCCUUGAACACUUUCUCCCAUCUCAAAAUUCUCGACUCCAGUUGCCAAAGAGCAGUUAGAAUAUUCACCUAAGUUACAGCACAAUCAGUUGUGAAAUUGACUGAACCCGCUGCGUGCCACUGUCUUUAAAGAUUAUUGAAUGCAGGGGUGGGAAGAUUUGUCCUAAAGAGACUGUUAAUAGUUUGAGAUCUACUGAGAGAGAGGGAAGGAAGAAAUUCACCAGUGAUUAAAAAGGGGAUUUACUUCUUAUUUUCCCUGUAGAUUAAGUGUUCCGAUUUGGAACCAGAUCUUAAAUUAACUCUUCUUCGGAGAAGGACAAUAUGUUCUGUUUAGCAAAGCCUCUGUUGCCAAAGCAGUGGUGGGUUGUGGUGGGGAUGGUGAUGAGUGACAAUAAUACCUAAUAUUUCAAUACCGGUUGGACUUUUUCCGCUUACGCUCCAAUUACGAAAGGAUAGCAACUCAGUGGAGAUGUAAGGAAAGCUAAAGCCAGAUUUGGUUACCGGAGAUUUGUCAAUAACCCAUUUCCAGUUGGAGAAACCCCUCCUCCAAUCGCCUAUUCAUUUUCCUAGUAGAUUCAUUCCUCGUUUUAAAAAAGUUUCAUGCAUUAAGCAUAGGAAAAUUCAAUAUGGCACUUCAUUACGUGCAUGUUGGAAAGGAUUUUAUUUAUUUCAGCCUCUGCCCUCUUACUGAUUAGCUUUCCUGGUAGCACCAGACAGCCUUAGCCACCCUGCUCUGCUGAUCUGCUGCUCUGCUUCUAUAAAGUUCCGACCCAAUGCUGCAGGCACUUCCUGUAGAUUUCAGAAUCUCAGCACUUGUGAGCAUCCCCUCCUCAUCACAAACCUGUAAGAGUCAACCUUUGGUACUCUACUCAUCUCUGAGUCAAAGAAAUGUGGUAUAGGGGUGUUAUAACUUGCCCAAGGUCACAGGGCAAUGGGACCAUUCGAGGCUAGAAUCCAGGUUUGUCCUGGGUCAAGCACCAGCCCCUAACCGGGUAUCGCAUCCCAGUGCAGUGCUUUCUGAUCCCAUUGUAUUGCAAUUGUUUGCAUUCGUGUCUUAUUUCCCCAUUAGAUGGGAAGACCUUAAAGUCUGGAACUCUUAGACCAGAGCUUCAGCAGAUGCUAAAAUUAGUUAAUCUGUGUGUCUGUAAGUCUUUGCUGAGUAUCUGCUCUAUGCCCAGCAUUGUUCUAGGCACCUGCAGAUACAGCUGUGAACCAGACAAAAAUGCGUACUCUCCCCAGAGAGCGGGGGAGAACGAGCCGGAAGACGAUGGUAGAUCAGAUGGAAGGAGGUAGAAGAUCAGAUGGUGAUAGUGGUAAGGAGCAGAGCUGCUCUCUCGUUGCCAUGAACAUCAUACGAGUUGUGUAACACUGCGUGGGCCCAGCAGAAAGGUGUGAUAGGGAGCCGUGGGGAGGAGGGGGGGCACAGGUUGCUAUUUUAAGUAAAGUAAGGAAGGCCUCAUUGAUAAGGUGGUAUUUGAGCGGAAACUUGAAGGAGACCAGAGAAACGGCCUCGGAGAUAUCUUGGAAAAGAACAUUCCAUUCAAACAAUUGAAUGAAUUCCCAAAUCCUUCCAGGCUCCUUUCUCCCCAAAUAAAUAAUUGUAAUUUGGCCUUCUUGGACUCUAUUAUAAUGUCAACAGACCUGGUUCCUGGCAGUUGUUUUCCUGACCACUCCUUACUUCCUCUCCUGGUUAUUGUAUGCCUUUGGAAUCAGCAGACCAGAAAACCCAGCUAGAUAGAUAGAUAGAUAGAUAGAUAGAUAGAUAGAUAGAUAUUUUUUUUCUCCUCUUCAUUUUAGAGGGAAUUGCCAAUCAUAUUAAAUAGACUGAUAAGAAGACCUGAAUUAAAAAAAAAAAUCUGAUUUCUUUAAACUCUAUCUACAAUGUAGAUGCCGUGUUGUGAAAUGAGACAUGAGAAUUGGUGUUGGGUAUGGUAGGGGCCCAGUGUUUUGGGCAAUGUAGAUGUCCUAUCUACAGUGUAGAUGCUCAGUAUUUUGUUCUCAUGUAUAGCUAGACAAGCUGAUGGACAGCACUGAAAACAGAAAGGGUGUUCUUGCCGACGUUCGGAUACCUGGAAAAUUCAGUUAUCCAAAAUGCCUAUUCCUUACAGAACCUGAGAUCAUAGUACCGAGGCUGGUUAUCAUGUAAAGCCCAUGGCCUUUCGUUUUAUGGAGGAAAUGAGAAAAGAACAAGGGUAAUAUUGCCAUCAUCAUACAUUUGCUCAAAACUCAUGGAAUACUUGCUCUUUUGAAGGUACUGGCAGGUAAAGGUCCCGGUGUUAGGAUAUGAAAUGGAGAUUUCUCUGGUUCCACUUGCCUUCUCAAAAUUGAAUGAAAAUGUGCUUUCUCAAAUAAAUUUCACUGUGGAUUCUACCUCAUCCAUGCUCCCAGCCCCAGGUGUAAGACUAUCCCCUUCCAAACAGUUUGAAACUUGCUGUAUCCAGUUUGGGUAGCCUUCCUUUGGCUCUGUAAAACUUUGAUGAGGACUUUUGGCAUUUCAAGGUUGAGUCCGAAUCACUCAGCUAUGAUUCUCCAUCAUCUGAGAGUCCAACCAAGCAAAACUAAAAAGAAAGCAGAAAUCUCAGCUUCUGGGUUUAAGAAAGAGUCCCUCUCAAAGCUCCCCCAAUUAGCCAGAUAAUCCUGGCCAUUUGACCAAAAUUGGCAGGGCGAGACUGGGAGGAGAUAUAUAUAGUGAUGAUAGGCCCUAAUGAUGAUAGGCCCACAGCCCGAAUUCCCUAAUGUUAAAUUUGGGAACACAAGUAAAAUAACCAUGUUAAUUUGAAACUGGGUAUCACGGGUACAGAUCAUGAUUAUAGCCUUGUGAGUCUGCUAAUAAUAUUUAUGGCAAUAAUCUGUGGCAUUUCUCCCAGAAGAUUUCUCAGAUUCUUCUGUGCGGAUUAAAGUUCAUUCUGUUAUCAGGAUGCUGGCUAUGAUCCUCUGGCCCUGAAAGGUGUGUUUUUGCCCUUCCGUUUUCAGGAGGAAAGUCCUGCCUUCAUUUCUUAAUGAGCGUCCCUUUGUUUUUCUUCCUUCCUCCUACUCACACUUAACUUGUCAACUUAGAUAGGAAAACACUCUACUGUGUAGAAUAAAAUAAAAACAUCUAAAUGUGUGGUUGGACAAGCCUAUUUUUAAACUUAGUCAUUUGAUGUAACACUGUGCUAGGCAAUAAUUAAAGUUCUGAUAAGGCUAAUUGAAAUGGAGUUAUUAGUUGACUUUUUCAUAGUUAAGAGGUUUUAGGGUAUUAUUAGGGUAAGAAUAUAUUUCGGUAUCUUGGGUACAACUCUGGCUUAAUAUAGCUUUUUUUUUUUCUGUGAAAAUUUUCAUUUCACUAGAAAUUUCUUUCAGGGGAACAAAACUCAAGACUUGUGUUCAUGUGUGGGUGGGUGAGUGGGUGGGUUACAUAUGUGUUUGCUGGGAGAGUGGAAUGGGUAGAUUUAGCACUGGAAAGAAGACAGUAAAAUUUAAGAAAUGGUGAAAAAGGAAAUCUGCGUAUAUAUGGGUACAUUUGAGUAUUACGUGUAUGUCUAUGCAUGCCCUUAAAUUAGUGCAGGGAAAGAACUAUGCCGAUCCACUUUAAAAACAUUUUAAGAUAUGGUUUCUUCUGAUGCCUGGGCACUGAUUUUGAUAAAAGAAAGUUACAGAGAAAGAAAAACAUAUAUGUAUAUUUCCUUUCCCACUGUCGUCACACCCGAAAAGUAUGUCCCCUAGGUAAAUAACAUUUAAAACCUUAUCUUUUUUUCUUUUAAGUUAAUUUAUUUAUUUUGAGAGAGAGAGAGAUUGAGAGAGAGAGAGAGUGCAUGAGUAGGGGGAGGGGGAGAGAGAGAGGGAGAGAGAGAGACAAUCCCAAGGAGGCUCCGCGCUCAGCACAGAGCCCAACUCCAGGCUCCACGCAGGCUCGAACUCACGAAGCAGUGAGACCAUGACCUGAGCCGAAAUCCAAGGUCCAAAGCUUAACCAGCUGAGCCACCCGGGCGCCCCCAACCUUAUCCUUUUGCUUUAGAAGGGCACACCUGGCAGAACUGGUGAGCCAGGAGGGUGGCUCUCUCGGAAGCAUCGCAAAUCCCCCAGGGUGCGGGAUCGCCUACGGUGCCACAGCCUCUCAUCAGAAGUGAGGUCUCUCUUCUUGUCGGAAACUGGCAAACCGCAAGGCCCUAGCCACCCGGUGGUGGAGAACCAAAACUCCAGCAGUCGGAAGGGACAAAGUAGCCAACGGAGCGGCGCAUUACAGAACGGAAGGGUGAUGUUAAAAUCCCAUUUUUAAACUUAGACCCAGAUGGAAUGCCCGUUUUGACCUUGGCCCCAAGACAGUGGUGUGGAGCACCAGUGGUAGGUUGCGGCUGCCCUGGUGUGAAGGAGGGAUUAUAGAUACUGCUUCGUUGCUGCCGCGCCCAGGCGAGACUUGGCUUCAUGUGGACUUCAUUGUGUUCUGGCAUUAGUUUGGCCACCAAGCUCAAGUUUGGCCAGUAGGAUUUCAAAUUAAGAACACAAACAAUGGGUCUCAACCCUUUUCCUGCUUUGAUAGGCAGUGAGACAGAGUCCUAAACCACAGUCCCAUGGGCAUUGCAGGUUAUGCGUGAUCCAGAUGCACUCUUUACUCUCCCGGGCGAGACCGUAUUAGGAUGUAGGAGGGGCAGGAGCAUGCUGAAGGCGAUGAUGUCUGCGAGCUGACAGUCGACCAUCUGCGACGAGUGGUACCUGAUGUAACCCACCUGCAGACUGCAGCUAGGGUCACCCUAGCCCUCAAAGGCUACGCUGUUCAAACCCCCAUUCUGCUGGCCUGAUAGUCCCGUGUCAUUCUCAGGUUUUUUGCGCAUUACUGGGAAGAACACCCUCUCCUCUGAACUCUGCCCUUGAACCCCUGUCUCCGCUGGUUUAGGUCAAUUUAGAGACCAUUUUACCAGCCAGAGCGGGCUGUUCUUUUUGCAUGCUUCCCAGACGGGUAGCUCGACCUCAUCUUCAUUUGGGCAAAUUCGCUUGUAGAAGGCAUCCUUUUAUGCAGAUGAAUUUACCAAAGGUGUGUGAGGACAAAGGACCUUGCAGCAACAUAGACCUCUGGAAUUACUGGGAUGUUUUCAAUGCUUCAGUCAUUUCUAAUCCCAGGCUCUAGGUCCUUUCUCUCUCCUUUCUUUCCCUUUCCUCUACCUCCCACUGUCCCCUCUCCAUACUUCCCUCCCCCUCCUUCCUCUCUCCUCUCCUGCCUUCCCUUCCCCUCACCUUUCCUUCCCUAUUCUUUCAACUCGGUCACAGGAGCAAGACUCAGAUUCCUUUUUUUUUUUUUUUUAAAUAUUUAUUUAUUUAUUUUGAGAGACAGAGAGAGAGUAUCAUAAGCAGGCUGUCAGCACAGAGCAGGAUGCGGGGCUCACCCUCAGGAACCUGAGCCCAAGUCAAGAAUCGGAUGCUUAACCAACUGAGCCGCUCAGGUGCCCCAAGACUCAAAUUCCUAAAGGAAUAAGGAGACCAAGGCUGAUGCUGCCUCUUCCUGCUCACUGAAGGAGAAGCAGUGUUUUCCUUUUUUUCUCCUCUCUACAAUCAUUUUCCAGGUGAGGUCGCAGAGAGAGGCAAGUGAUGAGGAAUGAGAGGACAGAUUAAGUCUUCAGGACAAGCAGAAAGACUGCAGAGGCAUCUGUGUUUACUGAGACACCCAAAGAAAAGCCUGAGGGGCAAGAGAGUGGGGUUUUAGACACCGGCUCUGGAGUCUGAGAUUUCCUCCUUGAACCUGGCCCAAACACUGCUCCCAUGCCAAGAGACGAUGCACUUUCUCCUCUGAGUUCCAUCUUCUGUGCCUUUACAAUGGAGACGGUAAUCCAUCCGAUCUUCAACUCUGAAAUUCAACCUCUGAGAACAGGUUUUUGGGUUUUUUUGUUUGUUUUUUUAAAUCUAGAUUUGGCAAAAACACGUUAGGCAGUAAGACCUGGCCCAAAGAAGUAGUCUUCCUCCUACUUCCGUAUCUGUCCACCCGUUUUGCUGCACCCAUAUUAACACGGCUGAGUUCCAGCCCCCACUGGAAGGGAUUCAUACCAUGCUGUGCACACUCCGUGUUGACUCCCUAGAAUCCGAGGAAAUGCUAGAUUGCAGAAAUACAAGUGGCCCUGGGGGUUUGGGAUAAGAUAGUCCACCUCAGAGGGGGUUUGGGAUCCUAAAUGGGAUAGACAAUAGCUGUGUGGGGGUUAAUGUAGGACCCGGCACAGGAAUAACCACCCAGUAAGUGCUGGCCAUUUUUACCACCCUACUGUGGUCUUGAAUGAGAGCAUGUGUGUAUGUCUGGCUCCAGAAAUAGCUACAAAACUUCGUGUUAGGAAGUACUUAAGAGCCUGGCGCGUACGCACUGGCUUAUUUUAUAUCUGUUGUUUAUAUCUAUCUUGAGUGUUGAAUUUGCUUCCGAUUUUCUUUUUAGAUGCCUUCUCAACGCCUUCUGACCCCAUUCUUUUUAUCUGAGGGAAAAUAGCAUUUUCUCUCUCUGUAGCACUGAAAUAUCCUUCUUCUCUGAUCACGGGAACCAGAGAGCUGUUCCUGGUGGAGCUGCAAUGCCUUUCUCUGUGAGUGGUGAUUAAUGGCCAAAAGAUGCUGGAUGUGAAUCAGUAAUUCAAUAAAGCUCUCAGGACAUUAACUCAGGGGCCAGGCGCUAAGAACUUCUCAACAGGGACAACUUCAUGCAGGAGAUGGAAACACACACAACGUAAAAUCUUGGCUGUCAAUGUACGAUGAUUUGUGGGGGGAUGGUGGUUUUUCCUUUGGUGUUUUCUCCCUUGUAAAACCUGUUGUCUGAAGUAGGUAAAAUUCCUUCUCCUGCACCCAAACUUAGGAGGUUGAAUGUGAGGAAGAAUAAUUGGGUCAGGCUGGAAGGGUUUGACUGAUUGAAAUUAAAAAAACAAAAACAAAAAACCCCACCUUUUCUCCCAUAGUGAUAAGAUAACCACAACAUCCCUCUAUUGUAAGAAAUCUUGAUGCUUAGUUUAAAAAAAAAAAAAAAAGAUGGCGGCAAGCUGUGGCUUCGUUGUGCCUGUCUGUGCCAGCUUCCCAAACUCUGGCUGAAUGGAGACUAUGUUUGGGUAUGCAUCCCGUGAAAUAUUCUAAAUUGCUGGGAGUAUUUGUUGUUGUUGUGUUUUGUCUCGCUGUUAAGAUUCUGGAUUCUUGGAACCUAGUCUAAAGAUCUGAAUUUCUGUGUUGUGUUCAUUAAAACCAAACAAACAAAGAUGAGCUGAAACAAAUCAUUCUAAGAGAAAAGAAGACACAAACAGAGCACUGAGAAUCUAAAGUUUUAAUAACAUUUUAUGUUUACUUUGUAAACCCAGCUACAAGUCAUUUCUUACUGACAGUUAUUUUAGAGGCCAAAGAAAGAAAUUUGUCUCGUACACCAUUGCCAUGAAUUUUUUAUGAAAUCCACAUUUAUUUCCUCUUUAAUUGCCAUGGCUUUCUGGGUUCUCUUUCUGGGCAUGGCAUGCACAGCCCCUCUCUCUUGUUUGUGUUGUCUCAAGGCAGAAAUAGAGAAUUUGUGUAAAAUGAAAGCAUUCAUAAUCGAGGAGUUCGGGGAAAAGAAGGAAAUCACAAAAGCUAUUCCUUAUCCCGUAAGGGAAGAGUGCAGGUAGCCACUCAUUCCUGGUCUUCUGUAAGGGCACCCAUGGAGGCCUCUUGAGAAUAAAUUAAUCAGCCCCCAGAGGUUAGCAUGGCAUUUAUUCCAUCUUGGGUAUGAAGUCUGAUCUUGAACUCAAACAAAAUAGAAUUUAACCUAUUUCUGUGUUGUUGUUUUUUAAAUCUCUUUCUGAACGUAUAAAUUUUCUUGCUUCUUAAAAAUGUUUUUUUUCCAUUCCAGUUAUUGUUUGUUUUUAUUUGAAUUGGGUUCAAAGGUAAAUGUAGCCCCUGGUGUCUUCCCUCUUCUACAGUAAAAACACAUGCAUGCAAAGUGCCCAAAGAAUAGGGAAAAGCAUGGCUUGUUCUUGAGUGAUAUGGUCAGUAAAAGAAGUUGGAUUUGGAGAGAUCUCUUGAAAGGGGCUUUGAGGUUUAUAAAACUUUGUUUUAAACUGUGUUUGAGUCUAUUUUAGACGAUCCAGACACAUUCAUUGUGUCUAAACCUCUUUUCCUUUUCUUUAUUUUUAAAUAUGCAAUUAACAUCUGAUUUUAUGAGCAUCAACCAAUGUGCAGGAUUCAGCUCAGCAUUAAUGAGAAGUCAGAGGUGAUAAAGACAUAGUCAUAACCGCCAGGAGUUUAUAAUCAAAUGCAGAAAAGGGAUUGAUAAAAUCUAACAGUAAGACAGAGUGUCUUGUGUCAGGAUAAAGGCGCAGAGUGAAAUGUUUUAUUUAGGGAAGGCUUCAUAAGAAGAAUGGUGUUUUAACGAAUUUUUGAUGGGUUGAGGGAUUACCAGUAGUGGAAAGGGAAUGAUGACAAGACUGUAGUGCAUAAGUUCAGUGACCAGAGCAUUCCAAUGUACCCAGAGUUCAAGCUGUGUGUUUAAACUAAGGCGUUGUCCUAAAAAAGAAAAAUAAAUAAAUAAAUCCUCAUUUAUUUACUUAAGUACUAGGUGGCUCAGUCGGUGAAGCGUCCAACUCUUGAUUUUGGCUCAGGUCACGAUCUCACAGUUCCUGAGCUCCAGCCCCUCGUCGAGCUCUGUGCUGAUAGUGAAGAGGCUGCUUGGAAUUCUCUCUCUCUCUCUCUGCCCCUUCCCUGCUCAUGUGCGCUCUCACAAUAAAUUAAUAAACAUUAAAAAAAAUGACUAAAGAAAUAAAAAUGGCAGUCUAGGACAGAAGAAAUGCAAAUAAACAAAUGAAUCAGAGUACGUUUCUCACUCCUGGAACGGAGAGGAAGAAAUCUGAACUGCAGUAGUAUUUGGAGGGUGGUUGGAAAGCAUCACAAGAUUCUGAAUCUUGAAGCAACAAAACUUUGCUUGUGGAAAUAAGAGGAAAGCACAAGUUCCCCUUACCCUUUCGACUUGUAAGGAUACAACUUUUCUGGGGCUUUCUAAGGAAAUUUUAUUUCAAGAUUCUGCUAGGUGGGUGUUCUCUCUUCUCUAAAUUGAAAUGUGAGGAUGCCAACUUCUGUCUUUUCUUUUCUCACCAACUUCUCUUUGUUCCCUCUCUCACUGCUCUCGUUUUCCUUCCCUCAUUAGAGUUCUCUCUCUCUCCUCUGUCUACCAGGAAGGAAGCACAAAUGCUGUCUUACAUUUUAGAGGAAACUCCAAGACCAUCUUCCCCAACAUCCUUCCUGUUUCAUUAAGCAAAAACCUAGUGAUCAUAAUCAUGGCAGGACCCUUGCCUUCUGUGGAUUAGCAGAGUAACAGAUGGCCCCAGGUUUGCACUGUGAGAGAUGGUGUUUCAAGUUGAGACUCUAAAGUCAGAUUGCUCAGUUCUGACACUUGCUAGAUGUUUAAUCGCACAUAAAUUACCGAACCAGUUCCUCAAUUCCCUCACCUAUAAGACGAAAAUAAUAUAGUACCUACCUCAGACAGUCAUGACAAUUAAAUAAGGUACUCCAUGGAGGGCAUUUAGUGCUGUGGCUAGAAUGUAGUCACUUAUUUUAUUUAUUUUUUAAAAUGUUUUUAUUAUUUAUUUUUGAGAGAGAGAGAGAGAGAGAGAGAGAGAGAGACAGAGCAUGAGUAGGGGAGGGGCGAGAGAGAGAGAGGGAGACACAGAAUCUGAAGCAGCUCCAGGCUCUGAACUGUCAGCACAGAGCCCAAGGCGGGGCUCGAACUCAGGAACCCCGAGAUGAUGACCUGAGUAGUAGUCGGACACUUAACUGACUGAUCCACUCAGGCGCCCCAACUAUUUUAAUAAAUAUUUGCUAUUUCUAAUCUUUUGGCUAACCAUUGACCACCUUCUUGCUCCACAGGCUGCAUGAUUAUAGCCUGUGAUAGUUAAUGUCAUGUAUCCACUUGACUGGGCCAUGGGCUCCCAAAUAUCUGGUGAAACAUUUCUUGGUGCAUCCAAGAGAGCGAUUCUGGAAGAGAUUAGCAUUUGAAUUAGUGGACUGAAUAAAGCAUAUGGCCUCCUUCAACGUGUGUGUGGGCAUCAUCCAAUCGGGUGAGGGCCUGAAUGGAACAGAAAGGCUGAGGAAGGUUGUACUCUCCCUCUGCUUGAUUGCAUAAGCCGAGACAUCAAUCCUCUCCUGCCCUCAGCGCUCCUGGUUUCUAGGCCUUCAGGCUCAGGCAGGAAUCUACACCAUGGGCUCUCUGGCUUUCUGGCCUUGGGCUAUACCACAGGCUUUCUUGGAUCUCCUGCUCACAGACUGCCGAUCAUGGGACUUCUCAGCCUCUGUAACUGUGUGAGCCAAUGCCUCAUAAUACACUUCUAGACACAUAUCCUAUUGGUUCCGUUCCUCUAGAGAACCCUGACUAAUGCACAGCCCUUCUACUCAAAUGGUCUGCAGCCAGCAGCCUGGGGCAUCAUCUGGGAGCUAAUUGGGAAUGCAGAUUCUCAGUCCCCACCCGUGCAAUUUUUAGCAAGCUCCCCGGAUGAUUACGUAUACACCAGACUACACAAUCCCCUUAUUCCCCAUGAAAACCCUAGGUUUGUGUCGAUGCUCCCUCAGCUAGGGAACAGCCACAGCCUCAUACCACAGACUCCGAAGAUCUGCCCGAGAAACACAGCGUUAACAUAGAUGCAGCUUCCUUUCAAUCGGUACAGUUAUUGGGAAACAAAUUUGGGACUUUUAAAGGCCUAUCUAACAAUUCUCAGAGGGAUUAUGAGGACUGGAGAGAUGGGUCCCUACUCCUCACCACAGAGGAGUAAGGGAGAUGGAGGGAGAGAAACACCUUGUAACGAGGGACAGUAUUCUCUACGUGCUCUUCCAAGGGGGCAACCUAGAAGACAACCAAGGGAAAGGGGGAGAAGAGUACCUGGAAGUGAAACAUCUGCUGAGAAAAGUUGACCAAACAGAGAGACAAGGAAGAACUAACCACUCAUAAAAGGCCUCUGAGCCAAGGGCUCUUACACUGACCUGGUUUCCUAUGGAGUGAAUUUUUCACCGAGAAGGGGAAGAGCGACAGGAAUUUAAAAGAUGUGUUUCUUAAUGGGAUUGGCCGGGGUAAGAAUCAGGACAUUUUUUGGGAAUGUACCGGUAGACAACAUACCCAUACUUGGCCUUUAGCUACUCACCACCUAGGUCUACCUUCUGUGCCCUCCUCAGUUUUCUGAAUGACUGAAAAAAUAUUGCAGUCUCUCAAAUGUCCAGAUUUCCAGCCUGAGUCCUAAGGGGCCACUCAUGGGGACCAGGUAAACAUCCAACGGAUAUGAUGGUAAUCUACCAAUACUAUUGGGCAAAUAUCAGGACCAGAUGAAGUUGUGCUCAAUAAAGCUGAAUAAGAAGCAGGAAAAGUGGGAUUUCCUUACAAAUCAUUAAAAAAAAAUGAAAAAGGAAUGUGACAUCUAAAAGAACACUGCAUUAUAUGUGUUAGAAUAAUAAUUACUUCAGGAAAUAAAAACAAUAGACUAAAUUUCCUCCAUCCUCUCAAAGGACUGAAAGUCAUGGUGAGUGGAAAGGAGAGCUGGCACACUGAAGAAAGAAAUUAAAGGGGAAAAUAUGAUCAGUUUCAAAAGGAAAACUGCUUGAGAAUCAAAAAGAAGAACAGAAUCAGCAAUGAAAAAAGGUCAGAGAUGUGGACGGUAGGCAUGAGAAAAACCACACAGAAGGCAGUGGAAAAAUACAAGGCAAUGAGAGAAAUCAACUAGGAGCUCACAGAUGUGGAGACCCAACACAGGGAUGAUGUAGGGACUGGAAGAUGAAAACCUAGAAUGAGCUGGUGCUAAAUGAUACGUCAGCACCUUGCAUACAUACUGUUUUCCAAAAUAAGACAAAGCAGGGCAGAGAAACGCAUGCAGGGUUUUUGUUUGUUUGUGUGUGUGUUUAUGUAAAGCUUAAAAACAUGUCAACAUUUCUGUAUGUGUAACAUGUUGUAAGAAUAUAAAGCAAUGGAUGAGAACAGUAAACUCCUAAUUCAGGAGAGUGGCUACCUCAAGGGAUGGGGGCAUGGAAUCUAAAAUGUAUUCAGUGAGUUUCAUCUGUGUUGGUUAUGUUUGAUCUUUUUCGAUAAGGUAGUGAGAGGAUGGGUUUUCAUUGCAUUAUUGCUUAUAGCUCUUUGUUCUGUGCUGGUGACAAUGUAGGAAAACAGAGCUUUCUCAUACCUUAUAAACAGGAGUAUGAAUUAUAUUAAAUUAUCUCUGGAGUCUAGUGGGCAUUUGAAAAAUUUAUAUUCAGGAAUUCCUUUGUUCAGGACGUUUUUCUUAUAUCGUAAAAUUAUAUAUGUGUGUAUAUAUAUAUAUAUAUAUACACAUAUUUAUAUUUAUAUUUAUAUAUUUCUUAUAUAUUUCUUAUAUCGUAAAAUUAUAUGUAUAUAUAUAUACACAUAUUUAUAUUUAUAUUUAUAUUUAUAUAUUUAUAUAUUUUUUAAGAGAGAGAGAGAGGGAGCACCAGUGUGCACAAGCAUGAGCAGGGGAGGGGCAGAGGGAGAGGGAGAAUCUUAAGCAGGCUCGAUGCCCAGCAUAGAGCUGGUUGCAGGGCUCAAUCCCACGAUCAUGACCUGAGCUGAAAUCAAGAGUCAGAUGCUCAACCGACUGAGCCACCAUGGUGCCCCUAUAUUAUAAAAUGUUUAAUGUAUACAACAAGACUUAAAGGAAAUGUUUUGAAAUUCUUAGUUUUAUUGUAUUAAAUCUAUGUUCUGAUUUAGAAGGAUUAACAUUUUAGUGAUAUUAAGUCUUUCCAUCUAGGAACAUUUCAUCUUAACAUUAAUUCAUAUCUUGUUUCUUUACAUAUUCUUCUUAUGUGUUAUUUUCUUGUUAAAUGUAUUUCUAGAUAUGUUAUACUCUCUAUCGUAUAUGUGAUGAUUGUAUAUGUCCAUUCCUAACUCCAAACUGUAUAUAAUAUAAAUAUCUUUCCAGAUUUUCUUAUUAGUCUUAAUGAUUUUUAGUUCUGUGCCUUGGGAUUUUUAAACCUAUAAUAUAAAAUUUUCAAAUAAACAUAAUUUAUCUAUAUAUACGCACAUACCUGUUGUUUUUUUGCUUUAUUGCAUUUUUUAGAUCAUCUAAAAUAAUUUUGAAAAAUAAUAAUGAUAAAAGGGAUUCUUGAUUUGAUUCUGAUUUUUUUUUUUUAAUUUUUUUUUUAACGUUUAUUUAUUUUUGAGACAGAGAGAGACAGAGCAUGAAUGGGGGAGGGUCAGAGAGAGAGAGGGAGACACAGAAUCUGAAACAGGCUCCAGGCCCUAAGCUGUCAGCACAGAGCCCGACGCGGGGCUCGAACUCAUGGACCGCGAGAUCAUGACCUGAGCCGAAGUUGGAUACUUAACCGACUGAGCCACCCAGGCGCCCCUUGAUUCUGAUUUUAAUGGCAAUGACUUUAAAAGUUUUAUUAUAAAAUAUUUGUUACUUUUUUAUUAAAAGUUCUUUAAUAUAUUUAGUUAUAUUUCUUAAAAGAAAUAUAAGAAUAAGGCACAAAAAUAUGAAUGAGUAUACUUAGAUAAAUGAAAGAUGAUAAUAUGUUCUUAUUUUAUUCAGUUUUUAUUAAGAUUUUUUUGUGAUAUUUAUAUGAAUGCAUUUAUAUUUCUUCAUCUAUAAAUAUAUUUUUCUUUUGAAUUAUUACUGUAAUAUUACAGUUUUUAAAAUGUAUCUACAUGGCAAUGCUAUAUUCUUUCCAUGACUAGAUGUAUUCAAUAUACUAAUAUUUUGAGAACAUUUGCUGUCAUAAGUAAUUUUUUUUCUUUUUAAAAUUAUUAAUUUGGAUGUUCUUGUGUUAGCUUAGUAGACCAUCUUGGUCAUUUUCAAUCAUUUUUUGAUAGUUGAGAAUAUUUUGAAUAAGAUAGAUAAAAAGGAAUUACAAACAUUCCUUCAACAUUCAAAUCUAUUAGGUACCUGAGUUCAGAAAGCAAAAGUUCAGAGAGAGACACCAUAAAAUCUGAUCUUUAGUCUCUGAGGUUUGAAUGGUGAGUAGCAAGCGUUUCAGAAACCAAAGGGUCUGUUAACAUUUUCUGAAUAUAUUCAUCUCCUAAGUUGUAUAGUGACAACUGAGAUAGAGAGGUAUACUAGCUAAGUUUUUUCUGUAUUUU